AUUGAACGCUGGCGGCAUGCUUUACACAUGCAAGUCGAACGGCAGCGGGGGCUUCGGCCUGCCGGCGAGUGGCGAACGGGUGAGUAAUGCAUCGGAACGUGCCCAUGUCGUGGGGGAUAACUACGCGAAAGCGUGGCUAAUACCGCAUACGCCCUGAGGGGGAAAGGGGGGGAUCGCAAGACCUCUCGCUAUUGGAGCGGCCGAUGUCAGAUUAGGUAGUUGGUGGGGUAAAGGCCUACCAAGCCGACGAUCUGUAGCUGGUCUGAGAGGACGACCAGCCACACUGGGACUGAGACACGGCCCAGACUCCUACGGGAGGCAGCAGUGGGGAAUUUUGGACAAUGGGCGCAAGCCUGAUCCAGCCAUGCCGCGUGCGGGAAGAAGGCCUUCGGGUUGUAAACCGCUUUUGUCAGGGAAGAAACGCGCUGAGUUAAUACCUCGGCGUAAUGACGGUACCUGAAGAAUAAGCACCGGCUAACUACGUGCCAGCCGCCGCCGUAACAC
rnacentral:rRNA from 1 species